AAACACGCAGCAACGUUUGCCUGACGUGUUCGUAAGCGACGAAAAGAAAGCACACAAUUAGGCUAUCUUCACGGCUUUGUAGCGACAUAACUUACCGUGCCUUCGAAAGAGAGCGCUAACAUUUGAUGCGAUGCGGUCUGAAAACGCCGGCAGACUGGCUCAACGUCAAGCAUGACUUCCGCAUUUGCGACGACACGUGAUAAAGAAUUUGACACUUCCGGGUUUGUGAUGAUGCAGCAUCGUUGGAAUUUAAUCUACAGGGUAUUCUGCGAAGCGAGUUUAGUGAGUUAGCCUACUGUGUUGAAUUGAAACCCGGAUUUGCGUGUUCAGACUGGCUGGGAUCGCUUCUCUUUUCAGCGGAAGUAGAAUAAUAUGAUGUCAAACGCCCCCCUUUUAUGUGGACGGGCACUGAGCACAAGAACCGGACUCGACAAAGUAGAACUGUAAGAGGUGGUCAGAGACCAGGAAGUCUGGAUUUCUCUACUGAGACUGGUGCCCCCACAACCCGAACCCGGAUAAGCGGAGAAACGGGAUGGAUGGAUGGACUAUUUAUAAUGAAACUGAACCCAACAAAACAAUGUACCCAACAAUGUACACAAAUAAAUAAAAAUAAUAAUAAAGUAAAAUAAAAAAGCAGCA